rnacentral:rRNA from 1 species
CACGUAGGGGGCAAGCGUUGUCCGGAUUUAUUGGGCGUAAAGAGCUCGUAGGCGGCUCAGUAAGUCAGGUGUGAAACCUCCAGGCUCAACCUGGAGACGCCACCUGAUACUGCUGUGGCUAGAGUCCGGUAGGGGAGCGUGGAAUUCCUGGUGUAGCGGUGAAAUGCGCAGAUAUCAGGAGGAACACCAGCGGCGAAGGCGGCGCUCUGGGCCGGAACUGACACUGAGGAGCGAAAGCGUGGGUAGCAAACAGG